ACCCUCCUCUCUUCCCUCCUCUCUCGUUUCCCUCAUGCCAGCCAGGAAGGUUUUCAAAGGGUCAGAGGCAGCAUCAAAACCCCUGCUGGUCAGUUCUUUGGUCACAAGGUGAGCCAGUAGGGUCAAAUGUACAGCGAGGUCAGCAAAUCCACUAUCAGCAUAUUCUAUUUAUCAACUUUACUACAAGCAAUCAUGCAAGAGCUGUCAUCUGGCAAGAGAAAAACAGCAAUGUUAUACCCACAUGAAACAGAUGAUAACCUAAGAGAUUCUUCUGCUGUAUUCAGGCGCAGCUGGAUCUCAUCUCACCCAAUACACCCCACCUCCAUACACAUACACACAGCGUUACCACCAUGAGUCUGUGCCAAACCAACCAUCUCGGGAAAAAUUAAACCAUGAGGAUCAUUUCCUAAUCCUUGCUGAAAAAUACUUCCAAUUCUUUUUCCCACAGGAAAAUUAACUAUUCUAACGGGAUUUUCGAGGGGGGUGGUGCUCAUUAUCAUGCUGCUUCCCAUUCUCCAUAAGGAGGAAAAUGGCAAUAACUUCCAACAAGAGACAACUGCUCUUCUCCUGUAACCCCGGUUAGAAACUAAAAAAUAAACAAAAAUACCAGUCUUUUGAGGCAUU